UCAAAUGCAUGUUAGGUUGACUCACUGUGUACUCUAUUACCCUCUCAUCUGGUUUUUAAUCUUUCUGUCUCCUUAUACUGUAAUCUCAGUGUUUCUUCUGCUUUAAUUUUGGUAUAUGAAUUAUUCAGCUGUGUUCAAAGUGUGGUUAAAGCGACUUAUAUGCUCUUUAAUUUUUAGUUAUUGUACUUUUCACCUCUAGAAGUUCUUCUGUGACACUUCUUAUAGUUUCCAGUUCCUGGUUAGAAUUUGCAAACUUGUUGACUAUUUCUUUGAAAAGAGUAGCUAGAAUUGUUUUAGUCUGUGUAUAGUGAGUUGAAUAUCUGAAACCUCUGUGAGUCUGUUUCUUUUGUCUGCUAGCCCUACUCAUGGCGUCAUGUUUUCCUGGAUGUUUAGUUGGUUGUCUUUGAAUAUGUCCAACUCCAGUUAUUUCUGGGAAUACCCAAAGGCACACCUGUUCACUAUCACCCAGUGAACUGCCAUGUGUUUGUCUCCUGUCAUGGUAACAUUUGCAUUCAGGGAGAGGCCUCUGCUCUCUGCAGAACAGUGUGAAAUCACCUCAUUUUUGCCUUCAAUGAAGGUUGUCUCUUGCUGGUCACCACCACUUCCUCAAAUGACUAAUGCCACUCUUGCUCACAGUGCUAAGGCGCUAAGGAGUUUUCAGAGGGCUAGAGUGAUUCUGCAUCCUCUGGGGUUCUCAGGAAACGAGGCCACAGGGCCAUCUGUGCAUGAGUGACAGUGGGGUGGGGUGGAUGAGCAGUGGCAGUGGUGGGCACCUAUGCUGCUGGCGCCACAGCUUUUUAUAUCUUGGUGAAAACAACGCCUUGCGUUUUCACUUGUAGAUUCUCCGGCUACAUUCCACAAGAACAAAUUCUGGUCACAGAGGCCAGAGUAGACUAUCAGUGUAAUGGCCCUUCCCCUUUGAUGAUAGCAGCUUUUUUCGGGGGAGCAGGGGUGGCCAAACUUCCUAGCCUUAUUUUAUCUUCCUUUCUAGUUCUCCCCAGAGGCUGCUGGGUCCACCUCUCCCUCUGCCAGACAGACAGGCUCAGACAUGCAAGAACGGAAGGGGGUGUGGGGGUUGGUGGGAGGAUUAAGUUGGGGAAAGCCAGUCUUGUCUUUGUAGAUUACCAGAACUGACACACGUACACACACGUACACUCACUCACUCACUCACUCAUCUAUUCAUCUAUUUUUGGCCUAAGUGCCUUUGGACACUUCUUCGGAAAAGCACAUGAACUCUUCGGAGUCUCCUGUUCCACUUGGUAAAUUUCCUAUAGCCACGCACUGAAAGUCCCUGCUGCCCUCCUUCCUCUGAGCUUGUGGGGCCCACAGAUCCCCUGCUCCACUUCCUGCUUCAUUUCAGCUGAUGGAUGACACUCCCUCGUUCUAAUACCAUCUGAAUGCCUGAGCAAUUACAUCUUACAACCUCAUGAAAAACACAGCAGCUUGUCACGAUGAAUGAUGUUACCGUGAAUAAUGCAGUUUUGAGUUCAAACUCCUUCUUAUUCCAAGAAUGAGUAAAUAUCCCUAUUCCCUCCCCUCCCCAUUGCAUUUGGGUUUGACAUGACAUGAAUCAUUGUGGUUUUACUCCUGGGUAGAAUUGUUUUUCUGUAUUGCAUUGCCAAUUGAUGGAAGGACAAAAAAAGGAAACUUACCAAUGAGCAGUUUCAGAUGAACUUAAAUUCUCAGAAAUCUUGAAGAAUGAAUGAACUAUAACUUUCUGAAGUUGCAAAAAUGUUCAAGUCGGAAGUGACCCAUGGGAAGCAACCUGGUCCUUAAUUAGGACUGGAAAGAAAACGGAGGCCCAGCGAGGGAACAGUGGCUUCCCCAAGGUCACACUGCAAGUGAGUGGUGGCACUAGUCACCCAGGAGUCCUCCUGACUCCAUGGUAUCCUGACCCCAGACCAGCAGCCUUAUUUGUGGUUAAAGAACGUGGAAAAACAGCUUAUGUUUGAAUUUUAAAAUCAUGCCAGUACUAAAGAUCUGCAUUCCAUGAAUAUUGAGCUUUGCUGUGUGCGGGUUGCUACGAAUUUUGUAACUAUUUUCUCUAAGAGCUCUCAGUAUUUUACAUAUACAAUUCCAUUCUUUAUUGUCCAGGGAAAAAGUUGCAUUUACUGAGCAGUAAGAGGGUGAUUUGAAGUCCCUGGGGUCCCCCACCCUUGUCUUUCUAUGUGAGAUUGUAUUGCAGGGCUCACAUUUAUUCUCUCAGCAGCUCAUUGCACAGACAGUGUAUUUAUUGAGCACCUACUGUGUGCCAGGAGCUAUGUGGUAAGCUAAGCAGACAAAAACUCCUGCUCUCACAAGAAGAAAGAAUAAACAAGCAGACAAUUGCACCUAUAAUGUCAGCCUGGUGUGAUGGCUCACUCCUGGAAUCCUAGCACUUUGGGAGGUGACGAUGGGAGGAUUGCUUUAACUCGGGAGUUCAAGAUAAGCCUGGGCAACCAAGACCCUGUCUCUACAAAAAAAUCAAAAAAUUAGCUGGGGGUGAUGGCAUGAGUCUCUGGUCCCUCGGGACCAGAGGCCUCGGGAGGCUGAGGCGGGUUUAUCACUUGAGCCUGGGAGGUUGAGGCUGCAGUGAGCUGUGAUCACACCACUGCACUCCAGCCUGGGCCACAGAGCGAGACCCUGUCUCUAAAUAAACAAACAACCUAAUGUCAAGUUAGGAAGUGUGGCAAAAAGGAACAAAGUCAGGGUGACUGCCAUUCUAGAAAGGGUGGUGAGGGAAGGUCUCCUUGAGCAGAUCCUGUGGGAGUGGAAGGGUAAGUCACGAGACUCUCUGGAGGAAGAAGAUUCCAGGUGGAAAUGCCUUAGUGGGUGUUAAACGCUUUAACGGGUGUUAGCCAGAAAGCCAGAAUGGCUGGAGCUGAGGGAGUAGAGGAGGCGGCAUAGAAAAUGAGGUCAGAGAUGGAGGCAGGGCCGGAUCACAGAGGGGCACAGAGAACGAGGAGGGAAUUGGAUUUUUGGAAAAGAUUGUGGCAAAAUACAAAAUAUAAAAUACAAAAAUAAAAUAUAAACCAUAAAAUGUACUACCUUUACCAUUUUAAGUAUGCAGUUCAGUAGUGUUAAAUACAUUUACAUCAUUGUUCAACCCGUCUCCAGAACUCUCUGCAUCUUGCAAAAUUAAAACUCUAUGCCAUUUCAACAGUUCGCAUUUCCUCUUCCCUCUCGUUCAUGGCAACCGCCAUUUUUCUUUCUGUCUCUGUAAAUGUUAGUACUUGGGGUAUCUCAUCUAAGUGGAAUCACACAGUGUGUGUCCUUUUGUGACAGACUUAUUUCACUUUGCAUAAUGUCCUUAAUAUUCAUCCAUGUUGUAGCAUGUGUCAGAUUUUCCUUCCUUCUUAACAUUGUGUAAUAUUCCAUUGUACGCAUAGACUACAUUUAGCUUAUCUGUUCACCUGUGGAUGGACACUUGGGUUGCUAUAGUGAAUAAUAUUGCUGUAAAUAUGGGUAUACGAUUAUCUCUUUGUGACCCUGCUUUUAAUUGUUUUGGAUAUAUACCCAGAAAUGGAAUUACUGAAUCAUGUGGA
rnacentral:lncRNA from 1 species